UUGUUUUAUUUAAUUAAUGCUGAUUGAUCUACGGGUUUUGUGUUUGUUUUAUGACCUCUCUUUGGACAUGAUCUUGUCUGAUGCAGUUUUGAUAAGUCAACCAAAGUUUCUAAUCUAAUAAGGAAGAAGAACUGCGGAAAUUAUCAAUACAAAGGUCAAGCCGCGUCGCUAUAACUUUUUACAUACUAUAGUAGAAUUAUUUUGUCCGUGCAGUUUGGGUAAUAAAAAAUCGGAGCGGUGAAGCGAGUAUUUCGUUCUCUCUUCCACUCACGAGCCUUAUGGACGGGCAUAGUGAUGCGCAUUAUUGUUGUCGAUAAGCAUUAUCGAUAGUGUAUUUAGUUUUGUCAUUUUGUGGGUUAGUGAUAAAAAUGAAAAAAAAAAACACUAAUGGAACACUUAUACCACAUAUCGCCGCAGCAGGUUAAGGAGAACGGCAGAAAUUAACACUUUGUAACUUUUCGGGAUGUAUUCUUAUUUCAGUGAAAAAUUUUUUACACAUAGAUAAAGAAAUUCAGAGAACGAAUGCAUAAAAACACAUUUCUCUUCGACAUAAUGUACUAUAAUUUGCAGGUAAGUACAAAUGACUCAUAACAUAACAAUGUCGCACCACUCUUCGUAUACUGGAUGUAAGUAAUGCUGGAAUCACACUGCGUUAUUCGCUAUCCGUUAUGGGCGUUAUUCACAACGGCGGAUCCAGGGGGGGGGGGGUCAUGGGGGUCAUGACCCCCCCCCUGAGCUAGUUCCAGGACUUGAACUGACUUGGACUAAUUGAAGAACAUCACGAUUUAUAUAUUAUCGAUUGUUAUCAAAAUUAAAUUAUAAGUUCUUAACUUGCCCACGACUAUGUGACCCCCUCCUGUCGCCAAAGCUGGAUCCGCCCUUGGUUAUUCACGCGCAUACGGCGAAGUGUGGAGAGUAUAUUCGCCAAUAUUCGCUUUAUUCGUACGCAAAACACAUAAACACGAAUAGCAAAUACGCGUAUCCGUCGACUUGUCGGUUUCUUGACACACUUCAAAGGACACGAAUAAGGCGAAUUUGCGCAUCGACUGCCUAUCAAUAGCCCAUAACGCAGUGUGGUUCCGGCAUAAGACCUUUUUUUUCCUAUCUAAGCUGAUGAUAGCCUUGAGAGGCUAUAUCAGCGUCGCCUUAACUAGUAGGUGAGCUCACGGGGCUCAAACGUGAUGACGUUGCUAACACGAACCCUAGCAAGAGCCGUGCUUCGCAGAAUCUACCACCGGAUCGGAAACGCGACCCACUGAGAUGAUCCGGCGAAAAACUCAGUGGGCUGUGUCUGAGGGUUAAUUUACUCGUCGAGCCCUUCGUCUCAAGCGACGCCUUCGAUGAGAACGAUGACCGGUGCUUGAGGUACCUAAAAGCACCGUUAGUGUGUAAAGCCAGAAAAUUUAAUUUGAAAUUUUUUUUUAAUUAACGCCAUCUAGCGUUGCUACGUGGCGCAGUGUGGAGAAUCUGAUUUUGAAGCUCGCAUACUCGACACUGCAUGUCGUGACUGUGCAAUUUUUAUGUUGUGCGACGACAGAUUUUGCACAUCACUGGCAUGCAGAAUCUUCGAGAAACGACAUAUUAAUCAUAUAAAAGGACAAGUUCACUUUGUCAAAGCUCUUUCGUGUAACAUCUCUUGAGCUGUGAGGUGACUAUAUUCUUUGAUUUACCAAAGUCAGUUUCAUUAAUCCUUGGUGUCAUGUGAUAAACCAGGAAGCGGGGAGCUCUAGCAAGUCGGUCCAAGAAAUGCUGCUUGACUGCGGUAGACGUAGAACACACCCGCAUUCCCAGUCUCGCUCGCAUACAGCAACCCCGGUUGCUGGGAAGUGAUCCGGUGAAGCUUAUUGUUUCUUUUAACCAAUUUAUAUUAAUUUUCUUUCUGUGUAACUUUCUCGAGUGUUCGGUGUAUAUACCGACACUCUAUCUUUACUGAUUUAAAUUUUGUAUCGUAACCUCUCACUAGUUUUUAUAACUAUUGUAAAUUUAACUCAUUAUAAUGUUUUAUAUCUGUGUUCAAUAAACACAAUUUUAGUAUUUA